UACAGAGGGUGCAAGCGUUAAUCGGAAUUACUGGGCGUAAAGCGUGCGUAGACGGUUAUGUAAGUCAGGUGUGAAAGCCCCGGGCUCAACCUGGGAAUUGCAUUUGAGACUGCAUAGCUAGGGUGCGGAAGAGGGAAGCGGAAUUUCCGGUGUAGCGGUGAAAUGCGUAGAUAUACGGAAGGAACAUCAGUGGCGAAAGCGGCUUCCUGGUCCAGCACCGACGUUCAGGCACGAAAGCGUGGGGAGCAAACAGG
rnacentral:rRNA from 1 species